AUUGAACGCUGGCGGAAUGCUUUACACAUGCAAGUCGAACGGUAGAGGGGGCAACCCCUCGAGAGUGGCGAACGGGUGAGUAAUAUAUCGGAACGUGCCCAGUCGUGGGGGAUAACGUAGCGAAAGUUACGCUAAUACCGCAUACGAUCUAAGGAUGAAAGCGGGGGAUCGCAAGACCUCGCGCGAUUGGAGCGGCCGAUAUCAGAUUAGGUAGUGGGUGGGGUAAAGGCUCACCAAGCCAACGAUCUGUAGCUGGUCUGAGAGGACGACCAGCCACACUGGAACUGAGACACGGUCCAGACUCCUACGGGAGGCAGCAGUGGGGAAUUUUGGACAAUGGACGCAAGUCUGAUCCAGCCAUUCCGCGUGCAGGAUGAAGGCCCUCGGGUUGUAAACUGCUUUUGUGCGGAACGAAAAGGUCUCUCUUAAUACGGGGGACUCAUGACGGUACCGUAAGAAUAAGCACCGGCUAACUACGUGCCAGCAGCCGCCGUAA
rnacentral:rRNA from 1 species